rnacentral:rRNA from 1 species
GACGAACGCUGGCGGCGCGCUUAACACAUGCAAGUCGAGCGAUGAAAUUUCGACAGAACCCUUCGGGGUGAAGAUGAAAUGGAUUAGCGGCGGACGGGUGAGUAACACGUGAGUAACCUGCCUUAGACAUUGGGAUAGCCUCGGGAAACCGGGAUUAAUACCAAAUGAAAUCACAUAUGCACAUGCAUAAAUGAUCAAAGCUCCGGCGGUCUAAGAUGGACUCGCGUCCCAUUAGCUAGUUGGUGAGGUAACGGCCCACCAAGGCGACGAUGGGUAGCCGGCCUGAGAGGGUGAACGGCCACAUUGGAACUGAGAAACGGUCCAAACUCCUACGGGAGGCAGCAGUGGGGAAUAUUGCACAAUGGAGGGAACUCUGAUGCAGCGACGCCGCGUGAACGAAGAAGGCUUUCGAGUCGUAAAGUUCUUUUAUAUGGGAAGAUAAUGACGGUACCAUAAGAAAAAGCCCCGGCUAACUACGUGCCAGCAGCCGCGGUAAUACGUAGGGGGCUAGCGUUGUCCGAAAUCACUGGGCGUAAAGGGUUCGCAGGCGGAAAUGUAAGUCAGGUGUAAAAGGCAGUAGCUUAACUACUGUAAGCAUUUGAAACUGCAUAUCUUGAGAAGAGUAGAGGUAAGUGGAAUUUUUAGUGUAGCGGUGAAAUGCGUAGAUAUUAAAAAGAAUACCGGUGGCGAAGGCGACUUACUGGGCUCAUUCUGACGCUGAGGAACGAAAGCGUGGGUAGCAAACAGG